UACGGGGGGAGCAAGCGUUGUUCGGAUUUACUGGGCGUAAAGGGCGCGUAGGCGGCCAGCGCAAGUCAGUUGUGAAAUCUCCGGGCUUAACUCGGAACGGUCAACUGAUACUGCGCGGCUAGAGUGCAGAAGGGGCAACUGGAAUUCUCGGUGUAGCGGUGAAAUGCGCAGAUAUUAGGAGGAACACCGGUGGCGAAGGCGCCGCUCUGGGCCGAAACUGACGCUGAGGGGCGAAAGCAUGGGUAGCAAACAGG
rnacentral:rRNA from 1 species